rnacentral:tRNA from 1 species
UGGCAGGAAGAGGACUUGAACCUCUGUAUACGGGACUACAAUCCGCCGCCUAGGCCCUCGGCCAUCCUACC